AAAAAUGUUAAUAUAAAUACAUUAUACAAUUUCCUUCUUUUAGCAAUAUAGAUUUGCCUAAAUUUUAUGGAAAGAUGUUCCCGUAUAUACAGUAUAUCAAUAAGUUAAUUUUCUAUUUAAUCGUUACAUUGAUAAUGUCAAUUUUCUAUGUUAUAUGUUUAAAAAAUAUAUUCAACUAAUAAAAAAAAGAAAAAAAAAGGAGAGAUCUAGGUAUCGUGAAUGUCAUUAAAUAUGUAAAUAUGUUUUUUUUAAAAAUUUUGUAAAUAUGUUGUUCUUAUGGUAUUAGUUCAUUCUUAUUAUUAUUUUCGUAACAAAAUAUGGCUAAUCUUUCAUGUCAAAAAUGAAAAAACAAAAAAGUUAAUUAUUGUGUUGUAUUGCGUCACAACAUGAUCAAUCAUAUAUAUAAAAGUAAGGUUUCACUCUCUGCUUA
rnacentral:lncRNA from 1 species